rnacentral:rRNA from 1 species
UGGCGGACGGCUGAGUAACGCGUAGGUGACCUGCCCCGAAGUGGGGAAUAACUGCCCGAAAGGGUGGCUAAUACCGCAUGUGGUCGGACGUUCAUUCGUCCGAGUAAAGCCGCAAGGCGCUUCGGGAGGGGCCUGCGUCCGAUUAGCUCGUUGGUGGGGUAAUGGCCUACCAAGGCGACGAUCGGUAGGUGGUCUGAGAGGACGAUCACCCAGACUGGGACUGAGACACGGCCCAG